rnacentral:rRNA from 1 species
CACGUAGGGCGCAAGCGUUGUCCGGAAUUAUUGGGCGUAAAGAGCUCGUAGGUGGUUUGUUACGUCUGCUGUGAAAACCUAGGGCUUAACCCUGGGCUUGCAGUGGAUACGGGCAGACUAGAGGUAUGCAGGGGAGAACGGAAUUCCUGGUGUAGCGGUGAAAUGCGCAGAUAUCAGGAGGAACACCGGUGGCGAAGGCGACAUCCUGGACCGGUAUUGACGCUGAGGCGCGAAAGCCAGGGGAGCAAACGGG